GUGGAUAGUUCGUCUUCUUCCCGCAUUUAUACACAGCCACGGAUCAUCCGUCUUCACGAGUUAUUCACGAUAAUUCGUCUGACAAGUCGGACUAUCGCGAUAGCUCGUCUCGAUGGAUGAUCCGACCGGUUGCCCGUGUUUAUACACAGACGGAUUAUCGGACGAGCUACCGUUCCUUGCCCAAGCUCGUCCUAGACGGAUGAUCCAUCUCCGCUAGUAUAAAUCGGGCCAGUGACUGAUUUUGCAGGAUCAUGAACAGUACACCUAACACAAGCCUCGUAAAACGUUGACAACGUUUUUGUCGCCGUUUCUUCCAUAGUUCACGAUCGUCAUCGACAGUAGCUUCCUUAUCAGUGCCCGCUGAGCUCGCUGGGAGUCCAUUAACUUGCGUGACAGGGAGUUUAGAGGCUGAUUGCAUUCUUUCUUGCUUGACACGAUGGACGUAAAGAGGGAUAACGUGACUAGAUGUGUCAGAUACUCAGCAUGACUGUGCAGUGAGGGCCUGGACUCAACACUCCACUCACCAGUGGGACUUGCCGUUGCCAGCAAAACAAAGAUUAUAACGAUCGUAGCCUUCAUCCUUCCUGUGAUAAAGAUGAAACACUCUCCUUUGAAGACAAACUUUCAGCGAAUGAAACAGUGAAAGAUCUGGACAUUUUCCAUUUGAAUCGAAUCACAAAUGCAUUGUUUGUUUCCUCACCUUGAAGGCUAAAAUCCUUGUAAACAAAUAUUCAAAGCAAUAACUCUAAUAACCUCUCAAAGCUGAUUAUUUUUCUUCUGUCAAACGCGCAAUACGUCUCCUCUCUGCAGACAUUGGAUUUCGACUGGAUAUCUACAGUUUUCCUUUAUGACGAAAACAUUUUUGUAUAUGACGUUUUUUCGAAUGUCGCGCGCAUCAAUUUUGCGCGCGCGCUCGGACAACAAAUCGACAACUGGGAAAGUAGGUAAAAUAAAAAUAAACCCUGCGAG